rnacentral:rRNA from 1 species
AAAGUUUGACCUCAAAUCAGGUAGGACUACCCGCUGAACUUAAGCAUAUCAAUAAGCGGAGGAAAAGAAACCAACAGGGAUUGCCUCAGUAACGGCGAGUGAAGCGGCAAGAGCUCAAAUUUGAAAUCUGGUACCUUCGGUGCCCGAGUUGUAAUUUGAAGAUUGUACUCUGGAGUUGGCCCUUGUCUAUGUUCCUUGGAACAGGACGUCACAGAGGGUGAGAAUCCCGUGCGAUGGGGAGUCCAGCUCCAUGUAGAGUGCUCUCGAAGAGUCGAGUUGUUUGGGAAUGCAGCUCUAAGUGGGUGGUAAAUUCCAUCUAAAGCUAAAUAUUGGCGAGAGACCGAUAGCGAACAAGUACAGUGAUGGAAAGAUGAAAAGAACUUUGAAAAGAGAGUGAAAAAGUACGUGAAAUUGUUGAAAGGGAAGGUUAUUAGAUCAGACUUGGCGUUGGACGAUAUUCUGCCCCUUGUGGGCAGUUCACUCGUCCGUCGCUGGGCCAGCAUCGGUUUGGGUGGCAGGAUAAUGGCUGUUGAACGUGGCUCCCCUCGGGGAGUGUUAUAGCUUCAGCUGAUACUGCCUACCUAGACCGAGGACUGCGGCUUCUGCCUAGGAUGCUGGCGUAAUGAUCUAAUAUCGCCCGUCUUGAACCACGGACC